ensembl:lncRNA
GAAUGUAAUGCUGUAAAACAUAUGGAAAACAUUAUCCAAAUAGCACAAAUACAACAUAAAGCCACACACGCAAACGGGGCUUGAAUUUGGGCUCCCCAUAGCCCCUGCUAGACAACACUGCCUCUCUGCUUUUAUUUACAGCUGAACCUCCUGGGUGGAACCGGAGAACAGAGGAAAAGGGGAGAGCAAGCGACAGAUGCCCACUGCUGCAAAGUACCGUUCAGCAUCUCCCAAAGGGUGAUCCAUCAGAAGGGACGUGCUGUUAAUCAGCAUGAAACCGACACACGUCACAUCCCCACAGAGCACAACACAGUGCAGAACAGCUCCACAGAGAGAGGGGACCUGGACACGCAGCUCUUCCCUUAGGCCUAUAGGUCCACCUCAGCCUUUCUCUCAUACUUACCCCAUUGGUGCUGAGAUCCAUAAAUGUUUUCUCUUUUGCUCCCUCAUCACCACACAAACGUCCCAUUUUUAAGUGAAAAAAGAUAGAAGCAAUCUUUUAUAUCCUCUAUAGCUGAAGCUGGAGUGCUCCUUUACCAGGAAAUGGUUUCUUGUUAUCAGAAGAUGACAUCAUUAUUUUACAGUAAAAGCCUCAGCCCUAUUUUAUUUUUUUUCAGUCUUCUUUUCUUCCCCCAUCAUCUUGGAAACAGAACUCACCCAGUAGCUUGCAAAGAGCAAUAACUACAGAAAGAUGGUUUGGCUCUGUCUCCUGGAGACAGGCACUACCAACAUAGCAUCACUGACGAAGUUAAGACAAACUUCCUUCCCACAGUCACCUGCAGCUUACAGUGCCAUUCACAGUGGAAGAGCAGCCUGCUUUGAAUGCAGGGGAUUACGUUUCAUCCACACCUUUCUGGCUUCCUCCCCACUAAAGUUAACCAUACUGGCUCUCUUAUGUCACCCACUCUACCUGUAAGAGCAUAUAACACAACUGUCUCAUUGCUGGGCUAAUACAAGAGGGCAAGCUGUGCCUCUCUGGAAAACUCCCAGAGGAAGAGGGAUAAGUUGUCUUUGCACUUCUCUCAAAAUACCCUCCCCUCCUUCAAAGCAAUGUACCCAAGGGUGGGGAAAAGCCCUUAUAUCACUUACAUAAGGUAACAUAAGUGUGAGAAAGUGCUUUAAAUGGCCCUUAUUCCCCAAGAACCAAAGGAUACUGGGGGCCGGGGGGAGGAUGUGACAGCCUGCAACAGACCGUGGGAAUGAGGAAGGCCAUUAGGGACAGAUGUGAACUACUGUAGCAUCACCCCAUGCAAAGAUGCACCAGCCUGCUCAUCUGUGAAGUCACCUUUCAGGACUGCUGUUGUUUUCCUGCUUGGAAAGCAGUCCUCCUGGAGGCCUGAAGGAAGGAGGAGAUCCAGAAGCAGCAGUGGAACCAGACCUGCUAGUUCAGACCUGAGGUGCCACUCCAUCAGCACACUGCACGCUGCUGAGGGCAGUGGUGGCUCCCUGUCCUCUGCUUGUGCAAAGUCC